rnacentral:rRNA from 1 species
AUCAACUUUCGAUGGUAGGAUAGAGGCCUACCAUGGUGGUAACGGGUAACGGGGUGUUAGGGCACGACACCGGAGAGGGAGCCUGAGAAACGGCUACCACAUCCAAGGAUGGCAGCAGGCGCGCAAAUUACCCAAUCCCGACACGGGGAGGUAGUGACAAUAAAUAACAAUACGGGGUUCUUUCGGAUUUCGUAAUUGGAAUGAGUACAAUUUAAAUCUCUUAACGAGGAACAAUUGGAGGGCAAGUCUGGUGCCAGCAGCCGCGGUAAUUCCAGCUCCAAUAGCGUAUAUUAAAGUUGUUGCAGUUAAAAAGCUCGUAGUUGAAUUUCGGGAUCGACGGGUCGGUCGCGCCUCUGGUGUGUACUGGCCCUGUCGGUUUCUCCCUUCUGACGAACCACGAUGUCAUUAAUUUGGUGUCGUGGGGAAUCAGGACUGUUAUUUUGAAAAAAUUAGAGUGUUUAAAGCAGGCAUUCGCUUGAAUACAUUAGCAUGGAAUAAUGAAAUAGGACGUUUGAUCUUAUUUUGUUGGUUUCUAAGAUCGACGUAAUGAUUAAUAGGGAUAGUUGGGGGCAUUAGUAUUCAAUUGUCAGAGGUGAAAUUCUUGGAUUUAUUGAAGACUAACUACUGCGAAAGCAUUUGCCAAGGAUGUUUUCAUUAAUCAAGAACGAAAGUUAGGGGAUCGAAGACGAUCAGAUACCGUCGUAGUCUUAACCAUAAACUAUGCCGACUAGGGAUCGGAUGAUGUUAAUUUUUUAAUGACUCAUUCGGCGCCUUACGGGAAACCAAAGUGUUUGGGUUC